rnacentral:rRNA from 1 species
AGUGAACGCUGGCGGUAGGCCUAACACAUGCAAGUCGAACGGCAGCACAGUAAGAGCUUGCUCUUACGGGUGGCGAGUGGCGGACGGGUGAGGAAUACAUCGGAAUCUACUUUUUCGUGGGGGAUAACGUAGGGAAACUUACGCUAAUACCGCAUACGACCUACGGGUGAAAGCAGGGGAUCUUCGGACCUUGCGCGAUUGAAUGAGCCGCUGUCGGAUUAGCUAGUUGGCGGGGUAAAGGCCCACCAAGGCGACGAUCCGUAGCUGGUCUGAGAGGAUGGUCAGCCACACUGGAACUGAGACACGGUCCAGACUCCUACGGGAGGCAGCAGUGGGGAAUAUUGGACAAUGGGCGCAAGCCUGCUCCAGCCAUACCGCGUGUGUGAAGAAGGCCUUCGGGUUGUAAAGCCCUUUUGUUGGGAAAGAAAAGCAGCAGGUUAAUACCCCGCUGUUCUGACGGUACCCAAAGAAUAAGCACCGGCUAACUUCGUG